rnacentral:rRNA from 1 species
AUUGAACGCUGGCGGCAGGCCUAACACAUGCAAGUCGAACGAGUGGCGUACGGGUGAGUUAUGUCUGGGACACUUCCUGAUGGAUGGCGAUAACUACUGGAAACUGUAGCUAAUUCCGCCUACCAUCGGCUGUGCCCAGAUGGGAUUAGCUAGUAGGUGGGGUAAAGGCUCACCUAGGCGACGAUCCCUAUCUGGUCUGAGAGGAUGACCAGCCACACUGGAACUGAGACACGGUCCAGACUCCUACGGGAGGCAGCAGUGGGGAAUAUUGCACAAUGGGCGAAAGCCUGAUGCAGCCAUGCCGCGUGUAUGAAGAAGGCCUUCGGGUUGUAAAGUACUUUAAGCGGGGAGGCGUUACCCGCAGAAGAAGCACCGGCUAACUCCGUGCCAGCAGCCGCGGUAAUAC